GUGGGGAAUAUUGCACAAUGGGCGAAAGCCUGAUGCAGCAACGCCGCGUGAGUGAUGAAGGUCUUCGGAUUGUAAAGCUCUGUCUUUUGGGACGAUAAUGACGGUACCAAAGGAGGAAGCCACGGCUAACUACGUGCCAGCAGCCGCGGUAAUACGUAGGUGGCAAGCGUUGUCCGGAUUUACUGGGCGUAAAGGGUGCGUAGGUGGAUAUUUAAGUCAGAUGUGAAACCCCUGGGCUCAACUCAGGGACUGCAUUUGAAACUGGAUAUCUUGAGUGCGGGAGAGGUAAGUGGAAUUCCUAGUGUAGCGGUGAAAUGCGUAGAGAUUAGGAAGAACACCAGUGGCGAAGGCGACUUACUGGACCGUAACUGACACUGAGGCACGAAAGCGUGGGUAGCAAACAGGAUUAGAAACCCCAGUAGUCC
rnacentral:rRNA from 1 species